GUGAAUGAGAGGUCAUCCCUUAAAAGUAAGGAGCUCCAGGAAUACUAAGUUUGCCUGGCAGGGAUAAACAAUAGAGGUAAUUGAGUUCAACAAGUAUUUGGUCAAGGUUCUGUCCCAGCAGCCAGUUCUGUAAUGGGAGCUAAGGACACUGCGGACUGCUGAUGUAAAGAGAACCGGGGUUUCUAGGAAUCUUUAAAGGACACGGUCAUAGUGAAAAUCAUCCGUCUGCCCAGAUGACCCUGCAACCCUCUAUUUAGAAGCUGCCUUCAAAACACAGAGAAACAUGGUGGAUCGUAAUCUCAUUGGCACCCUGCUCCGGAAGUUCCCCUAGCAUCAUCCAGCAC
rnacentral:lncRNA from 1 species